rnacentral:sRNA from 1 species
AUUUAACAUCAGGCCAAACAGAAAUUUUCUCAGGCAAGGUUUAAGAGGCUUGAAGCUCAAGCUAUGCAAAGUCACUUCCACAUUUUUGGGUAUCUUUUCAGCAGCACCCCACUCUACUGGUACCAAUUUACUGUAUUAGUCUGUUUUCAUGCUGCUGAUAAAGGCAUACCCAAGACUUGGGAGAAAAAGAGGUUUAAUUAGAUUUACAGUACCACAUGGCUGAGGAGACCUCAGAAUCAUGGUGGGAGAUGAAAAGCACUUCUUACAUGGUGGCGGCAAGAGAAAAUGUGAAAGAACUAAAAGCGGAACCCCUGAUAAACCCAUCAGUUCUCGUGAGACUUAUUCACUGUCACAAGAAUAGCAUGGGAAAGACCAUGCCCCAUGAUUCAGUUACCUCCCCCUGGGUCUCUCCCACAACACGUGGGAAUUCUGGGAGAUACAAUUCAAGUUGAGCCUUGGGUGGGGACACAGCCAAACCAUAUCACUAUCCUUUGGGAAACAUAAAGUUAGGUUGCCAACUUUAUAGCACUUCAAAGUUUAAAUUAUUGUAGGAGGACAAGUUCCCAUUUCUUUCUUUUUUUUUUUUUUUUGAGAUGGAGUCUCACUCUGUCAUGUCACCCAGGCUGGAGUGCAGUGGCGCGAUCUCAGCUCACUGCAAGCUCCACCUCCCGGGUUCACGCCAUUCUCCUGCCUCAGCCUUCCGAGUAGCUGGGACUACAAGCGCCCACCACCAUGCCCGGCUAAUUUUUUGUAUUUUUAGUAGAGAUGAGGUUUCACUGUGUAAGCCAGGAUGGUCUUGAUCUCCUUGCCUUGUGAUCCACCUGCCUCGGCCUCCCAAAGUGCUGGGAUUACAGGCGUGAGCCACCAGGCCUGGCCAACAAGUUCCCAUUUCUUACUAAAGAGAAGUCUUGGCAAUAACUGAACAAUGUCUCUGGCAGUUUACCCCAGAAGGACAAACCUUGACUUUUACAGGAAGCUGGCCAGGAGUGACAUAGGAGCCAUCUGAUAAGUUGAAGGAAUUGACAUUUCUAGAUCACAGUGGAAAAACUCCCACCACCCACCCAAUGUGGCCUUCACACUGACAUGUUUGUUGUGUUCCUUGUAUCCAAGGGGCCUGGAACUCAGAAUGCAUGUACCUCAUGGAACAUUAAGGAACAGCCUUCAUAAGGGCAUAAGGGCUGCUGUUCUUGUGACUAAACACUAUUAAUACAGUGCCCAAACGGGGACAGUCUGAGUUAUACACAAUUUAGAGUAACUCCAAUUGAUUCCUCCGUUUUUAAUUAAUAGCAUAUUGGUGUUUUAAAUAAAGUAUUUUCAGAAGAGUAAAAAGGGCUUUAAUUAAAUCUGAGUAAUUUUAAAGGAAAUAUAUGAUCAAAAAAGAGGAAAAAUUUGCCUCAAAAUAGACAUAAAUGGCUUAAAUGAAUGUUAAAACUGAAAAUCAAAAUAAUUUAGAAUGCACAUACUAAUUUGGAAACAGGUAAAACAGACAUAAGGGUUUUAUUUGUAGGGGGAGGGUCUGUAAAGUUAAUUAUGUGAACUUCUGAGUUGUAACUAUGUAUUGUUACAAUCUACUCUCUGACUAUUUCCUUCUUUGGGGAACAAUGAUUUAGAUAUCCUGAAAAUGCCACAUCAGUAAGUUGAACAAGAAGAACAGGAGCUUUAAGAACAAGAUUCAAGAUGAAACAAUACAAGUUUUGAAUAUUUUAUAAAUAGCUAAAGGCAGAAAAAGUUGCCAAUUAUCUUAGACUUCCAGAAAGUGAAAAAGAAAAACAAACAAACUAAAGUCUUAAUUGAAAAGAAGAAGAAAGAAAGACAUGAAGAAAGAGAUAGAGAAUGCAUGUUGAGAGUGGGGACAGGUAAGUACCAGCUGAACUCUUACCCUGGGCUGUUGGUCCUGAGGAUGUGGUAUAGGUUCAGCCUAAGCACUGGCUCCACCCCUUGAAAUAGUUUGGAUAUUUGUCCCUGCCCAAAAUCUCAUGUUAGAUUGUAAUCCCCAGUGCUGGAGAUGGGGCCUGGUGGGAGGUGUUUAGAUCAUGGGGCAGGUCCCUCAUGGCACGGUGCUGUCUUCUCUAUAAUGAGUGAGUUCUUGUGAGAUUAGGUCCUUUAAAAAUGUGUGGCACAUUUCGCCCUUCUGUCUUCCUCAUGUGUUUUUGCCAUGUGAUGUGCGGCUCCCCUUUCACCUUUUGCCAUGAUUGUAAGCCUCCUGCGGCCUCCCCAGAAGUCAAGCAAAUGCCAAUGCCAUGUUUCCUGUACAGCCUGCAGAACUGUGAGCCAAUUAAACCUCUUUUCUGUAU